UGCCAUUCUAGAUGUUACUGCUGGUUGGUAUCCAGUGUCUAUUUCGUCUUCCUCCAUCUUAACAGAACUCCAGUUUACUGAGGCCUCAAGCAUUGUUCCCGAUUUCCUCUGCUGAGCUCACUGUUAUUUUGGCUUUGAGGUUUAACAUGUCGGAGGGCUGACACAGCAGAAAGAAGAGGAAAAAAAAGUGUCAAUUUUGAAUUUCACA
rnacentral:lncRNA from 1 species